UACGGAGGGUGCAAGCGUUAUCCGGAUUCACUGGGUUUAAAGGGUGCGUAGGUGGCCUGCUAAGUCAGACGUGAAAUCCCUCAGCUUAACUGGGGAACUGCGUCUGAUACUGGAUGGCUUGAGUUUGGGAGAGGGAUGCGGAAUUCCAGGUGUAGCGGUGAAAUGCGUAGAUAUCUGGAGGAACACCGGUGGCGAAGGCGGCAUCCUGGACCAAUACUGACACUGAGGAGCGAAAGCCAGGGGAGCAAACGGG
rnacentral:rRNA from 1 species